UACGUAGGGUGCAAGCGUUAAUCGGAAUUACUGGGCGUAAAGCGUGCGUAGGCGGUUCUCCAAGUCCGUUGUGAAAGCCCCGGGCUCAACCUGGGAAUGGCAGUGGAAACUAGGGGACUGGAAUCUGGCAGAGGGGGGUGGAAUGCCGCGUGUAGCAGUGAAAUGCGUAGAGAUGCGGCGGAACACCGAUGGCGAAGGCAGCCCCCUGGGCUGAGAUUGACGCUCAGGCACGAAAGCGUGGGGAGCAAACAGGG
rnacentral:rRNA from 1 species